rnacentral:rRNA from 1 species
UAAAGCGUGCGCAGGCGGUUUUGUAAGUUUGUCGUGAAAGCCCCGGGCUCAACCUGGGAAUUGCGAUGAAGACUGCAAGGCUUGAAUCUGGCAGAGGGGGGUAGAAUUCCACGUGUAGCAGUGAAAUGCGUAGAGAUGUGGAGGAACACCGAUGGCGAAGGCAGCCCCCUGGGUCAAGAUUGACGCUCAUGCACGAAAGCGUGGGGAGCAAACAGGAUUAGAUACCCGGU